rnacentral:misc_RNA from 1 species
GUCAAUCAUCAAAUUUUUGAACGCAAAUUGCGCUUCCUGGCAUCCCGGGAAGUAUGCCUGUUUGAGGGUCAGUAUUAACAAAAAAUCGUUUUGGUUGCAAAUUGUGACGUUUCCGGCGUUUGGGCUAUCUUAACUUUUUUGGUUAAGGGGCUUAAAAUUGACCUUAUUUGCGCAUUUUUAUACGUACAUAACUUUUUUUUUUUAUUCGUCUGUCUUAUUCCCCAAUAUCCUAUUACAUGCAACCAUAUCGUUUGG